ensembl:lncRNA
AGUGAAGAUGCUGUGGACCGCCAAAGUGAUGAUGUGGUUGUCACCACAACACCCAAUCCCCACAACCAGACCACAUCUGCCCAUACUGAAGCUGGUGGUGGAGCAAGUGAAGAUGCUGUGGCUACUACCCCAGCACCCAAUCCAGACAACCAGACAACUUCUGCACAAGCUGAAGUUACUGAUGGAGCCAGUGAAGAUGCUGUGGACCGCCAAAGUGAUGAUGUGGUUGUCACCACAACACCCAAUCCCCACAACCAGACCACAUCUGCCCAUACUGAAGCUGGUGAUGGAGCCAGUGAAGAUGCUCUGGACCGCCAAAGUGAUGAUGUGGUUGUCACCACAACACCCCAUCCCCACAACCAGACCACAUCUGCCCAUACUGAAGCUGGUGAUGGAGCAAGUGAAGAUGCUGUGGCUACCACCCCAACACCAAAUCCCCCAACUACAUCUGACCACACUGCAGCUACCGGU